AAUUCUGGGGCCUUCGCCGGCCGCCCCCGCCCCCCGGCGCGGCACUUUCAGUUUUGCCUCCCCCUUCGGCCCGGGCCGCGGCGGGCAUCCUGGAGGCCGGGCCCUCGCGCCCCGCCCGCGCCUCCAUCCCGGCAUCUGGCCGCUCUCUGGCCGCCCCGCACCCUGGGCUCAGCCGACCUGGCUUUGUCUACUCCUUAACGUGGAGAUCAGGCGCCGCCGGGCUGCAGGAUCUCUCCCGGGGAGCGAGGGGCGCGGGAGGCGAGUCCUACCCUAGAUGCGCUCCUAGGAGUGCAUUUCCUGGCCCUGAAAAGACCUAGAAAUGUUGACCGAUCCAGCGGCAAUGAGCAUGACUAGUGCCCAGAUUGUGGUCUCUCCUUGAAGAAAUGGCUGACUUAAGGUCUGGGGGAAACAUGCAUGAUAAGCCUGGAGCAUCUUAAUAUGCCAGAAAGCAAGGAAGCUAUCAGUGACUCCUGCGGUCAUGUCAGAAGGACUCUGGAAUGAACCUGAAGAUGCCUCCAUGGGCCAAAGAUGGUGCAAGAUAAGCAUCAAUAAGAAUAAUUACAAUGCAAUUGCAAUGGAUGGAAACAGACCAAAUGAUUUGAGGAAAACAAUCAACUCGAUGAAGAGGAAGGAGGAAGAGAAGCUGAACACCUAGGAAAAAACAGAGAAACAAAAACCAGCCUCUUAGUACUUCCUGUUGACGUUGGUGGGGGCCAGCCCAGCUUCCCACAUGAUCGCAUCUUCUUGUAACUCUCUUAUUGUACAACUUGAGACACCGAGAUCCUCAGCUAGCCAGGCUCAGAUGCGACUGGAGGACUUUUCAGUCACUGGUCAAAUCAAGACUGGCCCCUUCCAAGAUCGCUGAACGAGAGUGAAGUCUGAUGGAACGAUCACUACCAUUUGCUGGGGGAGACUGUGUGCGAGCACCACGUGAACCCCAGAAAGUGCCUGGUACACAGUAGGUGCCCAAUAAGUGUUAACCACUGUUAUUAUUAAGAUUAUAAUGAUUACUAUGGAACAUGAGGUAGUCUUGUCUCUACAACAAGGCUGCGUGCUCCCUAAAGAGGGGAAACCUCAUACCGGCAUAUACACACGUGCUCCACACCCAACAGAACAUACCUAAACGCCCUGCCU